GGGUUGUAAAUACAUGUAAAGAGUUGUAGGUAACAGAGUUAAUGAAACCCUAUCUCUUCAUUGCUCAUUAUUUAUUCUUCAUUCAAGACCUCCGCCGCAACGAGCGGAGGCCCUCUAGCACCCGGCUGGAACACACUAAUUCCAACAUUGACGCCCACAGUGGGUCUCGAACCCAAGGCCACAAGGUUAAGAUCCUUGUGGUCUGGAUUGGGACAUUAAAUCUCUUUCUACUCAUACCACAGAUAGCGGCAGUACAACAAUCUCCUGCUCAUACACGACAGCUCUAUUUUUCUUCAGCCCUAUUUUGUGCUACUCAGAAGGUGCUCCUCUGCUUUCCAUGUCUAAGAUCUGUAUGAUCCAUGGAAUUCACAGGAUAGUGUGCGCCAGAUGCUAGUACUGACAUCUCAAACUCAAUACUAAUGGUGUACAAGUGGUGCAUUAAUCCAGGAAGCAUGAAGGAGUGUACACUUUAGAGCCAUAAAUUUCUCAAGAAGUUGCUUUCACACAUGGGAUCUCAUAGCCCAAGAUUAAAAUGGUGGAAAAAAUAAACCUUCUUUUGAAAAUACUUUUUUGGCAACAGCAUUUUGAGAAAGGACUAACAGCCAUCACAUGUGAAAACACACCGUAGCUAAUGCCAGCACCGAAUAGCCUUGUUGAGACAUGGAGUGCUAAUUCAAGCAGGAUGUAAGAGCAGAUUUUUCACAUAUUAUUAAUCAAUAUCACAGUACAUAGCCUGCACUGAAUCCUAUGAAAACAGAAGGAAACCCACGAAAGCACAAGUACCUGAACUCAUUUGAAAACCCAUUUCCACUUAAAUAUUGCCGAACAACACUAAGUGUACACUAAUUUAACAAGGUUGUAAACUAGUUUGUUGAUAUAUUCGUCAUAAUAUGAGAGGGACAGAGAUGACAAUAUCCCUGAAAUGCAUAUAUACAUGCACUACACGAUACAUUACAUGUUCGUAAUUAACAUUGCUGUCAAUUUCAUGCUUCCCAUGUAAAAGUUGACAUUGAUAAUAAAGUCCAUCACCGCUGGUGAUGAUCAAAGUCCACUGCCAGAGAUAGGGUAUUUACAGAGGCGGCCCUCUUAAGAUGCCUAGCACUGAAAAUAGGUUUUUAGAGGUGGGCAAAUCCUUUAAUGUCGCAUAAAGUCUCUUGUCUUCUAAGGUCAUUUAGAGAUAUAGUCAGAUAAAAGUGCCCCCACACCUGAAAUGGAAGUCCUUAUCUCCUAAAAUCAUUUUCGUAGUAUUGAAGAUCAUGGAUAUGUUUAUUACAUAACGAGAUUGGUUGCAUUUGGAUUCUUUUACAUAUGGGACAAGUUGAUGCCUUUACCCAUUAUGAAACUAAUCUCUACAAUUUAUGCAAAGAGAACUUAAUAUGAUAUAUAAUCUAAUCACAAAUAAAACAAAGCCAGCACAUAAACAAUGUCAAAACUAACCGGCCCUAUGUAACUUGUCCUCCUGAAAUAUGAGGCAACGCAAAAAAAAUUCCAAAGUAUAGACUAUAUAUAUUUUAUUGCGCCAUUUUCUUGGACUACUACAAUUAAGUGAUGAGUAAUCUCUCUUGGUCAUGUAACAAAAUAUGGUAGACUACAUGACAAUGCAGAGCAUGGCAUAGACUCAACGUGACAACCACACAACAUUGCAUAUAUUCCUGAGUUCAAAAGGAAACAUUGUAUAUAUGCCCUCAACAUCCUAUUGUUAUUAGCUCAGCUACUUAUUACAUGGAUGGAUAAAUGAGCCAAUAUUGCAUAUAUGCUGUAGCUAUCACAUUUAUGACUAUAGCAUCACCAACUUCUGUGUCCAACAUUACCCAUAUUUAAUGUCAGCAUAUGUAUAAGAACAGAGGGUAAAAGCAUUUCCAUGAUAUGCUAAGCGAGAGCCUAGUGACAGAGCAUAUUUCCACAUUAUAUAUAGUUAUAUACUGCAGAGGUUCCAAUUCCAUCACGAUCAUGCACCAGGUGCUCCUAAUAGCGAGCCGGCAGCUUAUUUAUUAGUGAAAAUUUUCUAUACCAUGGGCCGCCUGUGGAGUGUGUAGAAUUGAGAUGCAUCAGGACGUUCAUCAUGCUGCACGUAUUCCAUGGUAGCACCAGUGGCCAAUGCAACGUGCUUUUCAAUGGUUCAAUCCAUGGAUGCCAUGGUAACACCAGUUUCAUGCAUGUUGUUCACUUUGGAUUGGUGGCAGAGGAAUAAUCAUGAAACCUUCUUGCGUCAGAAACCGAUUCUUUGCCAGACAAAUAUAGUAUUUCUCAUACUUCUCCUAGUUUUUUUAUGUCACGAGCAGGAACAUCCAUAUAAUGCUCAGCUUUUUUUUUGGUUAUAACAAUUGCCCUCUGUUUUAUUAUUCUGAAAACUGGAUAGUCUGAGUGCCUCUGGCAUCUAAUGUUGUAGCACCUCUUUUAAAUACUGUUCCUUAUUCAUGUGUUCACGAGAUUUUGCACAAAAUAAUUUACUACUUUGCAUGUGUACUCAUAUAUGCUAUCAAAAAGCAUUUUGUAUAUCCACGCGUGUGCUUAUUUAUGUAUGAGGAUUGAAGAAAAUAAUAAGAAAAUUGAAUUGGCGUAUACAUCAUAAGCUCAUACAUAUGUGCGUGUGUAUUCAAGGGCGGUGCUAAGGCAUGCCUGAAGUCUAAUCAGACACUCAGCGGUAGGGAAGCUGUUGUCUUCUCUGGCCAGGAAGCUUCUAGAAUGUAGGCAGCUCACAUGCCUUGUUUGGAUCCAAAAUCUUUUUUUGGAUUUGAGUAAUGUAGCACAUUCUUUUGUAUUUGGCAAUUAUUGUCCAACCUUAGACUAACUAGGCUCAAAAAAUUUGUCUCGCAAAUUACAUGUAAACUGUGCAAUUAGUUGUUUUUUAUCUAUAUUUAAUGUUCUAUGCAUAUGCCACAAGAUUCAAUGUGAUGGGGAAUCUUAAAAAGUUUUUAGAUUUUGGGUAAAACUAAACAAGGCCUAAGAUUUGUAGGAAGAGGGGCCUCAACACCAACAAGCUUGAAGGGCAGCACAUGGACAGUCGGGAUGCCAAAGUGGGAAGGGAUAGUGAUGUCGACUGGGUCUGUAAGGAGAGAUGAGAGCCAGGAUUAGAUGGUUUGGUUGUUGUUAUAUGGAUUGACCUGUGU
rnacentral:lncRNA from 1 species